ACUAAUAAUUUAAGGGCAUAUGGUAGAUCCAAACCAGAUUAGGGAACUCAGUGGAAGCCAUAGAGCUUUAGACCUGACAUAAAAGCCUAUUGAAUAACUUGUUAUUUGACCGAGGAAAUGGCUGAGACAGGGGUUGGUAACUUGCCUGUAGACACAUAUCUGUAGAUGGGAAAGGGAGGAGCAAUGUCAUGUUUCUGUGAGUCCAACAAUUGACUCCUACCUGGGAUUCUGGAUUAUGUUGGAUUUGUUAGGGGGAAAGGAUGUCCUGAGAUAAUCUCAUACAGGCUUUGUGGACUCCACCCCCACUCCAGACUAAAGCCAUCAGGACAUUGGGAAAGACAAAUCCCAUCACCACCAAGGGGAGGGUGGCUGGGACCUGAGGGUGGAGUUGGGCAGCCAGGUUGGAUAUAAAAACCAAACACGUGGGCCUUGCUCCCUCUCUCUGGCUCGCGAUCGCUCGCCUCCUGGCUUCACCGCUCCUGGCUGGCGGCCAACUGAGAGCGCCAUUUUGGGAUUCCUGAUCGGCGGAUCGGCAGUGAGACUAAAUAGUGUUCUAAGGAAGAUGCUGUCAAGGACACAGCUGCAGAACACCCAAGGAGGAAACCAAGCCCACAUUUCAAAGCAUAACACUUUGUGGUUAC